rnacentral:rRNA from 1 species
AGAGUUUGAUCAUGGCUCAGGACGAACGCUGGCGGCGUGCUUAACACAUGCAAGUCGAGGGGGCCCAGCAAUGGGUCACCGGCGAACGGGUGCGUAACACGUGAGCUACCUACCGAGUUGUGGGGAAUAGCCGGCCCAACGGCCGGGUAAUACCGCAUACGCUCUCUUUGGGGCAUCCUGAGGAGAGGAAACGCUUGCGGCAAUUCGAGGGGCUCGCGGCCUAUCAGCUAGUUGGUGAGGUAACGGCUCACCAAGGCGAUGACGGGUAGCUGGUCUGAGAGGAUGGCCAGCCACAUUGGGACUGAGAAACGGCCCAGACUCCUACGGGAGGCAGCAGUGGGGAAUCUUGCGCAAUGGGCGAAAGCCUGACGCAGCGACGCCGCGUGGGGGAGGAAGGUCUUCGGAUUGUAAACCCCUGUUGCCGGGACGAAUGCCCUCUUUAGAGGGAGUGACGGUACCGGGUGAGGAAGCACCGGCUAACUCUGUGCCAGCAGCCGCGGUAAUUC